UCUAAUGUUUAUAGUUGUGACAUAUUUGAUAAUUUUAAAAUACAUAGUUGUGACAAGUUUUGAAACACAAGUGCAAUCAAAUGACAAUCCAUAUUCACCAAUUAUAUAUGGAAUUGGCAAUACGCAAAGGGAGAAGUACAAAUUAGCAAGGGAAAACAGGAAAUCUAUAUUACAUAAAAAGCGUAACAAGAAUCAUAACAUGUUACAUGAUAAUGUUAGUCAAGAACAACAAGUAGAUUUGCAUUCUCAAAGAAGUCACAUAAGUUGUAUUACUCAAAGAACUCCUUUAUGCGACAUAUCUAAUGGUAUUUCUAUUCCAUAAUAUUCCCAUUAUAAUGUUAAAAUAGUUAAAAGCUCAUGAAUGUAGUUAUUUUUUUGUACUACUCUAUAUGUAAUUAUAUAUGACAUAAAAUAUGUUAUAGUAAUAAUAGAUGUCAUAUUUGUUUGUGUAUUA